GUACAUGCCUCCUCCGGGAAGCCCACAGGAUUAUGUUCCUCCUGGUUUUCUCCUGCCUCGUGCUGUCUGUGUUUUCCACCAUCAAGGAGUAUGAGAAGAGCUCGGAGGGGGCCCUUUACAUCCUGGAAAUCGUGACUAUCGUGGUAUUUGGCGUGGAGUACUUCGUGCGGAUCUGGGCCGCAGGCUGCUGCUGCCGGUACCGUGGCUGGAGGGGGCGGCUCAAGUUUGCCCGGAAGCCGUUCUGUGUGAUUGACAUCAUGGUGCUCAUCGCCUCCAUUGCGGUGCUGGCCGCCGGCUCCCAGGGCAAUGUCUUUGCCACAUCUGCGCUCCGGAGCCUGCGCUUCCUGCAGAUUCUGCGGAUGAUCCGCAUGGACCGGCGGGGAGGCACCUGGAAGCUGCUGGGCUCUGUGGUCUAUGCCCACAGCAAGGAGCUGGUCACUGCCUGGUACAUCGGCUUCCUGUGUCUCAUCCUGGCCUCGUUCCUGGUGUACUUGGCAGAGAAGGGAGAGAACGACCACUUUGACACCUACGCGGAUGCACUCUGGUGGGGCCUGAUCACGCUGACCACCAUUGGCUACGGGGACAAGUACCCCCAGACCUGGAACGGCAGGCUCCUGGCGGCGACCUUCACCCUCAUCGGCGUCUCCUUCUUUGCGCUGCCUGCAGGCAUCUUGGGGUCUGGCUUUGCCCUGAAGGUUCAGGAGCAGCACAGGCAGAAGCACUUUGAGAAGAGGCGGAAUCCGGCAGCAGGCCUGAUCCAGUCGGCCUGGAGAUUCUACGCCACCAACCUCUCGCGCACAGACCUGCACUCCACGUGGCAGUACUACGAGCGCACGGUCACCGUGCCCAUGUACAGGUACCGCCGCCGGGCACCUGCCACCAAGCAUCUGUUUCAUUUUUUAUUUUCCAUUUGUUCUUAAACCCCACUUUUUGUUGUUCAUUAUUUUGAUUGAUUUUUUUCUUUAAAAUGUAUUUUUCACAAA
rnacentral:sRNA from 1 species